rnacentral:misc_RNA from 1 species
CGGCAACCCCGCCGCGACAGAGCACCGCCCGGGAGUCACCACAGUUAGCCACCACGAUCCGCUGCGCCCCCACCAGCGCCACCACCGCCGUGGACCCCACCGUCAUGUCAAUGGCCUGGAUGCCGAAGGCCGUCUCCUUGUCCAACCUCGAGAAGCACGCCGUCAUCACCUCCCGCCACAGUUCCCCCCACGCCAUCACCUCCUCCGCGAGAAGGAGGUGCAUCCGG